GUGGCAGCAGGGUGACAAUUGGGAACUGUGGGGUGGCAUGGGGUAAGGUGACACCAGGGUGACACCAGGGUGACAGCGGGUGACAACAAGACAGGAUAAGUUGACACUGGGGUGACAGUGGGAUGGGGCAGGGUGACACAGGGUGACAGUGGGGUGACAAGAAGGGAUGGGGUGGCGGCAGGGUGACAAUUGGGAACUGUGGGGUGACACGGGGUAAGGUGACACCAGGGUGACACUGGGUGACAGCAAGACAGGACAGGGUGACACCGGGGUGACAGUGGGAUGGGGCAGGGUGACACUGGGGUGACAGCAGGGUGACAAGAAGGGAUGGGGUGACGGCAGGGUGACAAUUGGGAACCGUGGGGUGACACUGGGUGAUAGCGGACGGGACAGGGUGACACCGGGGUGACAUCAGGGUGACGCCGGGGUGACAGCGAGGGUGGGACGGGGUUGUCCCUGGGCCAGGACGGGGUGACACCGGGACGGGACCGGGUGGGGGAGGGGACGGGGACGCGGUGUCACCCUGAUCCCGGUGACCCCCAGGAGCGGGCGGUUCCUGGUGAGCGGGGACAGCGGUGGCUUUGUCACCGUUUGGGACACGCUGCGGCCACCGGAGCCCGGGGACCCCCCCCUGCUGCCCCACACCCUGCGCUUCCACGCCCUGAGGGACUGCGUCAACGGCACCAGGUGCGGCUGUCACCUCUGUGUCACUGUCACCCCUGUGUCACUGUCACCCGCGUCAUGUCACCCAUGUCAUGUCACCUGCAUCACUGUCACCUCUGUGUCACUGUCACCUGCAUCAUGUCACCUCUGUGUCACUGUCACCUCUGUGUCACUGUCACCUCUGCGUCACUGUCACCUCUGCGUCACUGUCACCUGCAUCAUGUCACCUCUGUGUCGCUGUCACCUCUGUGUCACUGUCACCUCUGUGUCACUGUCACCUCUGUGUCACUGUCACCUGCGUCACUGUCACCUCUGUGUCACUGUCACCUCUGUGUCACUGUCACCCGCGUCACUGUCACCCGCGUCACUGUCACCCGCGUCACUGUCACCUCUGUGUCACUGUCACCUCUGUGUCACUGUCACCUCUGUGUCACUGUCACCUGCAUCAUGUCACCUCUGUGUCACUGUCAUUCACGUCAUGUCACCUCUGUGUCACUGUCACCCGCAUCAUGUCACCUGCAUCAUGACACCUCUGUGUCACUGUCACCCGCGUCACUGUCACCUCUGUGUCAUGUCACCUCUGUGUCACUGUCACCCACGUCAUGUCCCCUCUGUGUCACUGUCAUCUGCAUCGUGACACCUCUGUGUCACUGUCACCCAUGUCAUGUCCCCUGUGUCACUGUCCCCUCUGUGUCACUGUUCCCUCUGUGUCACUGUCACCCAUGUCAUGUC
rnacentral:lncRNA from 1 species